rnacentral:rRNA from 1 species
GACGAACGCUGGCGGCGUGCUUAACACAUGCAAGUCGAACGGAAAGGCCCUGCUCUUGUGGGGUGCUCGAGUGGCGAACGGGUGAGUAACACGUGAGUAACCUGCCCUUGUCUGUGGGAUAACUUCAGGAAACUGGGGCUAAUACCGGAUAGGAGCUCCUGCUGCAUGGUGGGGGUUGGAAAGUUUCGGCGGUUGGGGAUGGACUCGCGGCUUAUCAGCUUGUUGGGGGGGUAGUGGCUUACCAAGGCUUUGACGGGUAGCCGGCCUGAGAGGGUGACCGGCCACAUUGGGACGGAGCUACGGCCCAGACUCCUACGGGAGGCAGCAGUGGGGAAUAUUGCACAAUGGGCGGAAGCCUGAUGCGGCAACGCCGCGAGCGGGAUGGCGGCCUUCGGGUUGUAAACCGCUUUCGCCUGUGACGAAGCGUGAGUGACGGUAAUGGGUAAAUAAGCACCGGCUAACUACGUG